UUUCAAUUGAAGCCAGGUUAUUCGGUUGGCAAUUGGCUUUAUAUGGUAAAUAUUAAUUAUGUUGUAUUGUAUUUUAUGAUGCCUAAACCUGUUGUUUAAAAAAAAUUAAGAAUAUUUUAUAGAAAUCAUUUUUCAUUUAUUUCUAUAUUUUACCAUUAAAAACGAUGUUAUUCCAAUGCAUAUUGUAUAGGAAAUGUAAUGUUUUGCCAACCGAAAAAAUGGCGGAAACUGAUACGCGAGCUUCAAUGUAAGCUUCAAUACAAAUAAUAUACGAGUUCCUUAUCUAGUUAGUAUAGAAGUCUGUGGCUUUAUCGUGGUCGCGUUAUGAGAUCGUUAAAAACAAGGAGGCAUUUAAAACAUAUUUUAGUACCACACAACCUUAGAUCAUAUACAAUGGAUAGAGCCAUGGCAUCACGAUGUAGAUAUGUUCUCUAUGUAUGUAGUAUACAAGUAAUAUUGUAAUACAUUGAAAACACGGAAAACACAUAAUUUAGAAGAAAAUCUGAAAAACAUAAUUUAAAAUUACCUUAUGAACCGACACAGUAUAUUAUAUACAGUAUACACUUAUUACUUUUAUUUUUAGGGCUAAUAUACCCUACAAAUAAUAACAAUAAUAAAAAUAAAUCACAAUUUUAUCAAUUAUUGUAUUCAGUUCAGAUUAUUUUGACCACAUUUAGCAUGUUGACAUAUUGUAUUAGAAUAUGCAAAUAUAAGUAUAACAUCGAAAAUGGCAACCUGAAUUAUUAUUAUAUAAGUAAAUUUCAAUUCAUAUCAAUUAUUUGUAGUAUGCAGAGUUUGUAAUGGACCAAUUGUUUGUCGUACAAAUUGAAGACGAUUAUAAUAUUAUCCAAACAUUCCAAACCAAAUUCACUAAAAACAACAAAAUGAUUAAUAAAGUGUCGAAUUUUGGCUUUAUGAUAAUAAUAUUUUUUUUGUUAAUCAUACUAUUUAUACUAAUAGAGAACAAAACAUCAGCACCGAUAAAGAAAAAAACUAUGUUGUUCAUCACAGUAAUUUUAGAAAAAUUGAAGCAGCACAAAAUAAAAGAGGAAAAUCUAAAAAUGUAAAUUGUCCUGCAAAAAUAAAAAUUAUUGUGAAGAAAACUACUGUUGACACCAUUAAGAAGGAUAAAUUUAUUAAAGUAAGAUUAUUUUAAUUUUUUUUUUUUUUUGUA